UCCCGUUUAUCCUGCGGGAGAUUGCUGCUAUUAGGUUUCCACUUAGCCAUGCAAGUCGAGGGGGUUCUUCGGAGCCACCGGCGAAAUGCUCAGUAGCUCGUCAAUAAUUUGCCCUUAGAUUUGGAAUACCCUUGGGAAACUGAGGUUAAUACCGAAUAGAGGAUUGAGGUUGGAAUACACUUUCCUUCAAAGCUCCGGCGUCUAAAGAUAAGUUGGCGGCUGAUUAGGUUGUUGGUGAGGUAAUGGCUCACCAAGCCAGUGAUCAGUAGGGGGGAUGAGAGUCCUAGCCCCGAGAAGGACACUGAGACAAGGGUCCUAGUCCUAAGGGAUGCAGCAGGCAGGAAAACUUUACAAUACACGCAAGUGUGAUAAGGGAAACCUAAGUGCUAACCCAUUUUAGGGUCGGCUUUUGUCAAGCGUAAAAACCUUGAUGAAUAAGUGGUGGGCAAGACCGGUGCCAGCCGCCGCGGUAACACCGGCGCCACAAGUGGCAAUCACAUUUAUUGGGCCUAAAGCGUCCGUAGCCUAUUUGGACAGUUUCUUGUGAAAUCGUUGAGCUUAACUUAGCGAAUGGCAAGAAAUACUACUAAGUUAGAGACUGGGAGGGGGCAGAGGUAUUCAUGGGGAAGCGGUAAAAUGUUAUAAUCCUUUGAAGACCACCUGUGGUGAAGACGUCUGCCUAGAACAGGUCUGACGGUGAGGGACGAAAGCCAGGGGAGCGAUCCGGAUUAGAUACCCGAGUAGUCCUGGCUGUAAACGCUGCGAACUAUGUGUUGCACUUCUUUCGUGGAAGUGCAGUGCCGAAGUGAAGACGUUAAGUUCGCCGCCUGGGAAGUAUAGUCGCAAGAUCGAAACUUAAAGGAAUUGGCGGGGGCGCACUACAAGGGGUGCGGCGUGCGGUUUAAUCAGAUUCCACACCGUGAACCUUACCAGGAACGACGGCAGGAUGAAGGUCAGAUUAAAGGUCUUACCUGACAAGCCGAGAGGAGGUGCAUGGCCGCCGUCAGCUCGUGCCGUGAGGUGUCCAGUUAAGUCUGGCAACGAGCAAGACCUAUAUCCAUAGUUGCAACUGAGUUCUACGGAACGAUCAGGCACACUAUAGAGACUGCCUUGGAAACGAGGAGGAAGGUGUAGGCAACGGUAGGUGGUAUGCCCUGAAUUUCCUGGGCUACACGCGCGCAACAAUGGUAUGGACAAUGGGCUACAACUCCGAAAGGAGAGGUUAAUCCUCGAACCCAUAUCUUAGUACAGAUUGAGGGUUGCAAUUCACCCUCAUGACGCCGGAAUCCCUAGUAAUCGUAUGUCAUCAGCAUACGGUGAAUAUGUCCCUGUGCCUUGCACACACCGCCCGUCAAACCAUUCGAGCAGGGCUUAGGUGAGGCCUGGAUUUUUUGUCCAGAACGAACUUAAGUUCAGUAAGAAGGGUUAAGUCGUCACAAGGUA
rnacentral:rRNA from 1 species